CCCUGGAGAGAGAGGGCUGCGUAAUCGCGCAGUGGCAAAGUUUGGCUGGUAUAUUCCACCUCCCUUUUCCAGCCCAGUCCCUACGCUUUUGUUCUUUAACGAACUUGCACAGAUUGUUUUAUUUGUUUAUUUUAAUAGGCAGAAACCAAGCAGGCAUUGCUCUCAUGUGCUUCUUUAUAUAAAGAGCUUGGGGGAUGGGAGGAGGGUAUGGGGGCGCGGGCGUUGACUCGCUUUCUCCCAGCCGCGCAAGUUGGAUGGAAACAUGCUGCUAUGGAUGGGAACUAGAUCAGUCUCAUUCCCACCCAGCCCCGACGGGUCCCGCAGGAGGAAGAGAUGCGUAGUCGAGGGCCGUUUCCUCGCGGGUUUUGUAACUUAACUGCGCAGCGCGCUCCAAAGACCCAACGCACAAUACAGAAAGAAAUAGGCUGCAACAAUAGAAUGCUGAAGAGGUCCGGGUGGUUAGGGAGAGGGCUCCUGCGUUGGUGGUCAGGGAGGUUACAGCAAGCAGGUGUGAUUAUUGUGAGCAUCUGGGAGUGUGGAGCAGUGGCUUCAGUCCUUCCUACCACCGACCUUACGUGUUCCGUACCAUUCUUAUUGGAUCUAUCAGAAAACAGCAUGCAAGAGCCAGCAGCCAACCAUUCCUGGUGGAGCACCAUCAAACUUCCUCCGUUGGAGUUACUUAAAAGUUAUAUUGUUGGGAUUUUUGAUAACGCCUUUCCUUAUGUGGAUUACUACAAUUUGAUGGCUGGGAACUCUCCACUCAGAAGCUUCCAGCACCUUCCAUCUACAGUGCAGUGUCCCGGGGAGAGUUCACAGCAGUCGUGAAGCCCCACACCCAUUUGGCUUAGUGCACACGGUGUCUUUUCAACUUUCUGGGCCAUGUUCAUUUUAGAAGGAUGACACAGCUGAUGACAGAAUGACUUCAAAAGGGACAUCGCAUAAAUAUUGUGACCUGACUGCAGAAAUGCUGACUCUCUGCUUAUUCAGGUGUGAAUCAUGAUGGUGUGGCAAGGCCUGUGAUUUACUCUUUGGUGGGCAUGCCUGAGUGUGAUUAAGGGAUUUAAGUGCAGGACUCGAAGAUUUACUUCCUUCCUGUUCCAGCAGGGUAACCUGAGGGAGUGAGUAAUGGGAUAAUUUAUAACACCGCGGGCUCUUCGUCAAGAGACCACUAGUCAAAACAGGAAGAUCAAACUCAGGUUUCAAUGGGAGGACUACAACUUUUGAUACUCUCUGGACAUACCUCUUAAUUACAAGCAGAAGAUCUUCAAGAAUUUUCCUAAGGAGAUGUCCAAAGGUAAAGGCAUCGGAUAGAGUUAUUCCAUUACUCUCUGUGGAGGUCUAGAUUUUGAUUUCAGUAUUUCUGACAAAAUCUUCAGCUUCAGCCUUGACAUCAACUUUAUGAACUAAGGUGCAGCAUUUCUGGGUCCUUUGAGAGGCUGAGGAGAGUCUGCAGGCGUGCUGCCCACCUCUGCAAGUGCUUGUCCUAGGGUCACAGCAAGUGGAAGUGGAGAGCACCACAAACUGCUUUGAGCAGAGCCCACUUCCUUCGUCGCGGAGCGUGUGAAGCCGUUACACCAACAUCAAUCAAGGGGAACCCAGGGGCUGCACUCACACCGUUGAAGCAGGCUCUGCUUUCACAUCUUUUGGAUAUGUACCGAGGCACGAGAUCAUAUGGUGGAUCAUCUGGUGAGCAAAGUGAAGACUGGUCCAGGGGCAGAGUACUUCUGAGGCAGAGGAAGAAGACUAAACAGCUCCCGGCUCAGCUCCUCUUCUCAUACUCAGGAAUCACUGCACAUGCUGUUAUAGGGCCUCAUUUUGUUUUCCUUUCCAAAACACCUGUGUGCUGUGUUUGCAGUGCUGUGACUCUGGCUACUCGUCAGGCCCUUUUACAUAUUUCUUUUUCACUUAAAGAAAUAUUAUUUCAAAACUUUAUUAGGGUGUAAUUUAGAUGAAAAUAUCUUAUUAUCUAGCAUGCAACUAAAUUCUUCCAGUUUAGUUUGUUUAGUUGAAAUCUUUCUGGAAGAAUCUGUCUUACAUCUGGGCAAUACAAAAGCAAUAGCCUGUGGAAAACGCGUUCUGAUCAUAUCAUAUCCUAGGAAAGAUGGAGAGAACAAUAAAAUUCAGUCAAUAUUUUAUAAAUUCAAGGUCAGCCUUCUGUGUCACUGUCAACAGUGGAUGAGUCCCAAAGGAUUUCUGUUACUAUUAAAUUAGAAAUGAUCCACUUUUAUUUUAAGUAUAGUGGAUUUCUCCAUUCAAUAGACGGGGAAAAAAAACAAAAUAAAAAGUCAAGAGAGCAGAAUUAUUUUGUAAGAUAAUUGCAAACCACUUAUGUGUUUCAAUACAAAGCAGUAGAGACCGUCUUAUCUCUGUGGCUAUUCAUCCGUAUCUAGCUUUAGUGAAUUUAUGGCUGAGAUUCUUCACCUAGAUCCCUGAGGAGUUAUGUUGCAUCCCUUUGCCCCACCUCACCAGGUGCAUCUCAGGAAAAUGAAUGUACGUGAUGCAUCUGUUAUUCAUAUCUGGAUAGAAAUGGGUGCUGUUAUGAUUUGAAAGUGGUUGUACUUUUCUUCUCAGAGAUGUUCCCCUUUGUAUAUGCUUGUAUAAUAUACAUGGCCUUUCAUUGUAAGCUUUUUAUUCAUAAAGGAAUCUAAUUGAAUUGGUUAAGAAAUAUAUCUAUAGGGUUUUCUUCAAUGGUGAUUUUCAUUGCUAAUAUGUUUUGUAAUCAGCCAAGUUUAUGGGUAACCCAAUUUGUGUGUUUGCUGAGUGGUACAUUUCAGUGUGCUUUUCCUUCUUUGCUUAGGGAUUUUUAUUUUCUGUCAGGAUCAGUGGACAAUAUAGUACCUCCACCAUUAUACAACAGUAUUUAAAUGCUUUCCUUUAGGAUGUUAAGAGACUGGGUUGGCCCUGUGACAAAAACUUUUCAAAGUCAAACUGAAUUUAGCCUUAGAGUGGUGCAAGUUUUCAUCUUAAAUUAUUUUGCAUUUUUUAUAUUCAUACUUUUAGAGUCUUCAAAAUUUCUCCAGCCCAUCUCCACUGAUCACCACCAACAAGAGGGUGUAAGUUACUUGAUGUGGAACCUUCUCAAAAGAAGAUGCUUCAGAGAUGGACUGGAAAUGCCUUGAUAUUAUUUACCACGAAAAUGAUGUAGCUAUGGGGCCCAGCUUGCCCACUUGGCUGUCAGUGAAGUUCUCCCUGGCCUCAAGGAGAGGCUAGCUAAUCUCUGCUUUCAUCCUGAACCUGUUGUUGCCCUGAGGACCACUCUGCAUCUUAGCUUUGUUCUUCUGAACUGCCUGCCUUACUGUGUGAGAAGUCAUGGAGUCAGAUGCAACUUUCUUAUCUGAACAUCUUCAAGGAAGAAUCCUGUUGCAAAUCAUCACAUCACAGUUGUGCUGCUGUCCCUUGUUGCCAACAACUCUGUCUUGCGAGUGGACGUUUUACUCUGAGACUAUUUUGACUUAUCUUGCAUGGAGCUGCCCCAUGUGUAUUCUAUCUUGUAAAAGCCUAGUUUUCCAAAGGCUGUAAGGCUAAAAAAGAUGGACUUUUCUGUUUCCUGGAAGGAAUUUUGAAAGCUUAAACCAUGAUUUCCUGGAAUAUAUGAUAUGUGGGAGAUCCCAAGCCUUCUGACCACAACCGUGAAGUGCCUGCAAAUCACUGAGUGUCGUGUGCUAUAAUUGAAAGUGUGUUUUAUGAUCACUAAUCCUUUCCUUGCAAGGACUGAUUGGCACGUUGAAGAGGCUAAGGAACAUGGACUCAUGGGCUAACUGCUUUUAACAUUGCUGCAUUAUAAGCCAGGUAAAUCAAGGGCUCUCUGCUUCUGCCUUGAAAAUUGGGCCUGUUGUCUGGAUUCCAGUGACUGUUCUCCUGUUCCACUCUGAUUCUUGAAUACAGCAUCUGGUACUCCUGGGUUUCUUCUCAUAGCUCUCCUGAAAAAUUCUACUCUGUCUUUGUGAUGCUCCAGUCAAGGUACAAAUGGCCAUUCAAUGCCUGUUUGUUGAAUCACAGAAUGGACCUUGUAUACUGUACAUCAGCUGUCUGUUUUUCUGCCCAUUCCGUGUCCUGAUUCAGCAAUGACAACCCCAGCAGACUGAAGCCUGAUGCUGUAAGCAUUAUCUUUGCAAGAUUAUUUUCAUUGGAGUCUCAUUCUUAUAAAUCAGCCCAAAUGUCCUAACACGUGGUGCCACAUUAAUUAUUUGAAGACAUUUAAACAAUGUUACUAGUCCGUGGACAUAACGAUAAUGCUUACCGUAAUGUCUUGGCUAUAAGAUGGACUACUAAGAGUUAAGCUGAAUAAAUCUCCAUAAAAUGAAUAUGAUUUUUUUAUUAGUACCAGUUAACCAAAAUUUUUCUGUAAAUAUCUGACUCAAGAAAUUUCAGAGGCCCUAAAUACUAAUCAAGGUGGUCUCUAUGAAAAAAUCUGAGCGGCGGGACUGGAAAGUAGUUAUAAUUUGCUAAUCAGAAACAUAAUCAGUGUUUUAGCUCCUCUUUUGGAAAAGGAUGUAUGAAUAUAAACAGAAUAGUGACUAAAAAGUAUAGAAAGGAAAAUCGCAAACACAAAUGUUGUUGAUCCUCGUGUAACACUCUUGUGGAACAGAAGUCUUAAAUAAAGGAUUUGAACAUUUGCAACAAGACUG